rnacentral:rRNA from 1 species
AUUGAACGCUGGCGGCAGGCCUAACACAUGCAAGUCGAGCGAGUGGCGGACGGGUGAGUAAUGUAUGGGGAACUGCCCGAUGGAGGGGGAUAACUACUGGAAACGGUAGCUAAUACCGCAUACCAUCGGAUGUACCCAUAUGGGAUUAGCUAGUAGGUGGGGUAAAGGCUCACCUAGGCGACGAUCCCUAGCUGGUCUGAGAGGAUGAUCAGCCACACUGGAACUGAGACACGGCCCAGACUCCUACGGGAGGCAGCAGUGGGGAAUAUUGCACAAUGGGCGCAAUCCUGAUGCAGCCAGGCCGCGUGUAUGAAGAAGGCCUUAGGGUUGUAAAGUACUUUCAGCGGGGAGGCGUUACCCGCAGAAGAAGCACCGGCUAACUCCGUGCCAGCAGCCGCGGUAAUUC